GUGAAUCAUCGAAUCUUUGAACGCAACUUGCGCCCUCUGGUAUUCCGGAGGGCAUGCCUGUUUGAGUGUCAUGUAGACUCAAUCCCUCGGGUUUCCGAGGAGAUUGGAUUUGGGUGUCUGCCUCUUCUGGCUCACCUCAAAAGACUUAGCGGGAUAGCACCGUAGUCGACGUAAUAAGUUUCGUCGGUAAAAGUGUGAUGUCUGCUCACAAUCGCCCCUGGGCACUUUUGACUCUGACCUCAAAUCAGGUAGGACUACCCGCUGAACUUAAGCAUAUCAAUAAGCGGAGGA
rnacentral:misc_RNA from 1 species